GGCUCCAUAGUGUAGUGGUUAGCACAUCUGGUUUACAUGCAGAAGGUCCCUAGUUAGUGCCCCAGGUGAAGCCA
rnacentral:tRNA from 1 species